UUGCCUGUGGCUCCUGCGAAGACGUCGCCCUGGGCUGGACUUUCCGAGAUGACGGCAGUGGCCUCCACGGUGGACGCCCGGUCAAAGGUGCUGUGGACCCAAGUGUGGACUUUCUUCUCAACCCCAGGAUCUCCGCUGGGCUCCUCCUUUUGUGAUUUUCUCCACAUGAUGAGAUGUUGCUGUUACACCCUCUGGGCUGAACUGUGAGGUCUCAGCCAGCAACGUGGCUGCAUUAGGAGUAAGGACAGUGGGGCCCUAACCUGGUGGGAUUAGUGUCCCUAUAGGAGGAGACACCAGAAACACCCCCUAACUGCCACAUGAGUGAGAGCCUGCAAGCCAAAAGGAGCCCCAGCCAGCAGCAAACCAGUGCCGGGACCCAGGCUGCCGCCUCCACAGCUGUGAGAAAGCCCGCGCAUGCCGCAGCUGCCCUGGGAGUGGUGCCCGCCCCAGCCCCGUAGACUGGGACCGAGACCCCUGCUGAAAACGCUUCCACCCUGCAGACACAGAGCCUGCCUGGAAGCCCCCUCAGCUGCUGCUGCAACGGGAAGCAUCUCCUGCCUGCUGCUGUUCCUCCAUGGGGCCCACACACCCCCGUUCCUUCACACGCCUUGUGACUUCUGCUGGAGCUGGACAUCCGUGCCGACGGCUGCUCCCCUCCAGGCUCCCCAGCUGCAGCCCUGCACAUGGGGUCCCUGCAGGCCCCUCCGGGCAGCAGGAGUCAAGCUGCCACACCAGCUGCUGGCUCUGCUCUUUCCAGCCGACUGCUCUACCCUCUGCAAACUGCUCCGCUGUGGGAUCCAGGCACCUGGGGCUCUGCACUGGGGGCUUUCGGGACACAUCUAGAGGAAAUGCCCUGGGACAGUCGUUUAGCUGGCAUCCGCCCACACACUGCCCGGGAGCGGAGCCUCGGCAGCACUCACACCAUCAGCCUAACUCGUGGUCCUAUCGCUGCCUCCACCGCAGGGAAUUCCACCGCAUGGGGUAUGGGCGAGCGGGGCCGGGACGAUGGGGCCGGUGGCCUGGAACGGAGCUUCCCCUCAGCCGAGCAGGGCCACAGGCCAGGAACAGGCCCUGGCUCACACACCAGACUCACAAAAUUCUCCCGGAUAAAUAUUUUUUGCUAUAUGCCGCCAGGACAGCUUUCAGAGAUCCUAAGCAGGCUUUUUGCAUUAUUUCGCCAAUGAGGAUUAUGUCUCUGGGGGCUGGUCCAUAGAGCUCUGCAGACCACUGUUCCUGAUUCGGAAGCCAAAACGUGUCCAUUUGAUGAAGGAGACGUACAAGAUUUUAUUUCAUGGACUGAACCUUUGGUUGCAUGCCUAAGAAAUCCCAGGUAUAACUUGAGAUCACAAAGAUUUUCUUCUAAAAACUUUAAUUUUGUUUUCAACACAUCUCACUCUAAAAUCCACUUUUAAUUCAUUGGUAUAUAAAGUAUGAUGUCUAGGUCAA